UAUAUAUAUAUAUAUAGAUAAAUAUAUAAAAUACCCCUAACUUAUAUUUAUUUAUU
rnacentral:tRNA from 1 species